UACGUAGGGGGCAAGCGUUGUCCGGAAUCAUUGGGCGUAAAGAGCGUGUAGGCGGCCCGGUAAGUCCGCUGUGAAAGUCCAGGGCUCAACCUGGGAACUGCCCUUGAUACUGGCGGUCUCGAGUCCGGAAGAGGAGAGUGGAAUUCCUGGUGUAGCGGUGAAAUGCGCAGAUAUCAGGAAGAACACCCGUGGCGAAGGCGGCUCUCUGGGACGGUACUGACGCUGAGACGCGAAAGCGUGGGGAGCGAACAGG
rnacentral:rRNA from 1 species